ensembl:misc_RNA 7SK 7SK RNA
GGAUAUAAGGGCAAUCUGGCCGGGACAUCUGUCACUCCAUUGAUCACUAGGGUUGAUUGGGCUAAUCUGGCUACCUAAGCUGGUGUCUCCUUCCUUUUUCACUGCUCCACUUGAAGCUGUGUGGUGGAUAGAAGAGAACGACCACUCCAGAUGGAGGAAGAAUCAUUUCCUUAGUCUAGGGUAUAGAGUUACUGCNNUCCCCUGCUGGAAACUCCAAACAAGCUCUCAAAAAGUGAGAAACUGAAAUGGAAAUUUUUUUAAAAAGCAAUAUGCCAAAAAUAUGAUGCUAGUCAAUUU